GACGAACGCUGGCGGCGUGCUUAACACAUGCAAGUCGAACGGAAAGGCCCUGCUUUUGUGGGGUGCUCGAGUGGCGAACGGGUGAGUAACACGUGAGUAACCUGUCCUUGACUUUGGGAUAACUUCAGGAAGCUGGGGCUAAUACCGGAUAGGAGCUCUUGCUGCAUGGUGGGGGUUGGAAAGUUUCGGCGGUUGGGGAUGGACUCGCGGCUUAUCAGCUUGUUGGUGGGGUAGUGGCUUACCAAGGCUUUGACGGGUAGCCGGCCUGAGAGGGGGACCGGCCACAUUGGGACUGAGAUACGGCCCAGACUCCUACGGGAGGCAGCAGUGGGGAAUAUUGCACAGUGGGCGGAAGCCUGAUGCAACGACGCCGCGUGCGGGAUAACGGCCUUCGGGUUGUAAACCGCUUUCGCCUGUGACGAAGCGUGAGUGACGGUAAUGGGUAAAGAAGCACCGGCUAACUACGUG
rnacentral:rRNA from 1 species